AUGUCAGUUGUUCGCAUUGCAAAUGGCGGCUCCUUGUUAUUGUUCAUGGCGUUUUAUGACUUGUCCCUUUAUAUUACCGAUUAUGUCGAGUUUUUUCGUGAUUCCUACCGCGCGCUGUGUGCAAAAAGUGAAAUAAGACUUGCGCGGCAUAUUUUAGAUUAAAAUUAGUGUUCUUGUGGUGUGGCUCCGUGCAUUUUGAACGCGAGAAAUCCCGCACGAAGUUGGAAAGAAAUGGGAAACAAUAAAUAUAUUUGUUAGUGUUGGAGUGGUUUGGAGUUGUCGGUUUAAAACCGACAGUCAAACAUCUUAUCACCACAUAUUCUAGUGGUACCCUGAGGCGUUUGAACCUCUCUGGGUAGUAUGUGAUUUGUGGUUGUCAUGGCGGCUGAUAGUGAUGGUGAUCUAAUUCAAACAGUCAUAACGUGUGAAGGUAAUUUAGAAGAUCCAGAGUUUCCACACAAAUUUAAAAUCAUUGUUGAUCAUCUUAAAUCUUUGCUUUGCAAAGAUAAUGGGGAUGGUUUAAGAGUAAAUAAGGUAGAGCCAUGGAAUUCUGUCAGAGUCACAUUUUCAAUACCCAGAGAAGCUGCACUACGUCUUCGAGAAUUAGCAGCCCAGGGUUCUCCAACACUUACACAACUUGGAAUUCUUUCAGUACAAGUUGAGGGAGAUCAGGUAAUAUCAUUGAGGAUAGCUAAUCGCUUUAGUGGAGAGGCACAGGAAAUUGUAUUACGUUCAGGAUCUUCACAAGACAAUAGUGCCAAAUCUCAAAAUGAAUCCACUAGCAAUACAUCUAAUAUGGAUAGUGAACCUCCAACAGCUUUACCUGGUCCAAGUAAUACAACUAGUAUUUCUUCAGCAUUACGUAAUGUGGCUCAAAUAAUUGCAGCUGGUACAUCAUCGGAAAAAGUACCACAAUUUCGUUCUCCAAAUGUAGUUGCACCUACAGACUGUGAUCCUAUUCCACCUUUUCUUGCAAAAUCUGUACAGUCCGCAUCAGGCAGUAACAAUGUUGGUGCCUCUGGAAAUCAAACUGUAACUAAUCCCAGUGCUUCGCCUAGGAAUAAUUAUAAUGGUCCAUUCCCAUUUGCCAGUAUGACACAUGCUGCCCAAGCAAUUCAUAAUCGUGAAUCACAAGCAACCACAAUUAAAAAUACAAUGCAAUUUAAACAUCAUGUUCAGCCACCUCCGCCUUAUCCUGCUCAAGAGAAUUUGGCGACAGUAACAACAUUAACAGCUGGUCAUACUACUACUCAAUCAGUUGUAUCAGUUGGUCAGUUAACAAAUCAGUACAAGUCUUCAAUUACUACUACAUCUAGUCUGUCACCAAACAAUAACAAUCUGGCAGGGAAUUCAAAUGGUAAUGGAAAUCAAGUUGCUUUGUCCAGUCCACUUCUUGUUAAUCUUUUACAAAAUGAUGCUAACACGCAUCCAAAUAAUGUGAUAUCUGGUCAGAAAAUGUUACCACCAGCAGUCAUUGAUAAUUCUGGACUUACAAAUCGUAUGAGACCCACUAAAAAACCAACAGUUAGAAGAAAAGAUUUAGCUUCACCUAAUGAAUCGCCACCGAAUUUAGAUUCUCUUAGAACAGAGGAUCUUAUAGGAGGAACAACAGUAGUUUCUGACUUAUCUCAAUCUUCUACAUCUGCAUUUGCAACUGUUAAUGCUAAUCAAUCUUCAACUAUUUCUCAACAACAUCCAGUUAAUGUAAUUAGUGGCGUUGCACAAAAUAUAGACCAGCAAGCAGUACAUCAAGCUUCUGUUAGUGGACAAAUACAACAACCUGCAUCAUCACUACAUGCUCAAGUACAAAUACAGCAAAAGUUUCCCAUCAGACAAGAAUUGGCUUAUAGAUCAUCGCAAGUACAAUUACAAAGUCAACUUCCAAUUAGACAUCCAGUAAAUGGACAGCAAAUUCGAACACCUUUGCAACAACGACAGUUACUUCUUCAACAGCAACAGCAACAUCAAGUUCAUUUAACACAACAACAACAACAACAACAACAACAACAACAACAACAAUUGAAUCAACAAAAUAUAAAUUCUCCCCAUUUACUUACACAACAAAUUUCAACUCAACAACAAUCUUUGGUACAAUCGCAAAAUGUAAAUACAUCGUUACAACCUACAUCCGUUUCCAGUCAACCACUUUUGCAACAACAACAAUUAAUGCAACAUUCGUCAGUAGGCAUAAAUGUUCCACAGCAACGGCUUAGUUACUUAAAUAAUCAACGUCAACAAACUCCACCUCCUUAUUCACGACAACAAGUUCCACCACAGUCCCAUUUAGGACAACAAAAUCAAGUAUUGAAUGUGCAACAACAAUUACAUCAUAAUCAACUUAAAAAUGUUAAUGUUAACACUAAUGCCACAACUGAUUUUCGUUAUGGACAAAGUCAAAAUAUUUUAAGCAGAAAUUAUCAAACUACAACUAGUACUGCUAAUGGGACCACGUGGAACGCACAAAAUAAUUCUAUUCCACAAGGUGCUCAGGUUAAUACUAUUCGUCUGCCAACUACGAAUCAGGUUUCAGGUGCCUUUUCUCAGUGUGGAUCUCAUAGUAAUCAUAUUUCUAAUAGUAAUAUUGUUUCACCUGCUACUAAAGUUGAAACUUCUGAAUCUCCUAAUCCUAAAGAAGAGACACCUGAACCAGAAUAUACAUCAACUGGUAAAAUACGACAGUUUCUUAUUAACCCUUUAACUGGGCAUUUGGAACCAAUGCCUAGUGAGAGCUCGGAUUCAGAACCAGAAAGUGCAGUAGAUAAUCAAGAUGAUUUCUUUUCCUUUCCAUCGCCAUCAAAUGAUCGAUCAAAUUCCAUAUUUUCCGACGACGAUGCAGACAGUAAUUUCUCAAGAAGAAAUGAUACAACAACAAAUACGGAUCAGUCAGAUUCUGAAACCACAGUGAAAUCUACUGCCAGUGAAGGAAGUUUGAAGCAUAGCAGAAUAAAAUCUAACAGAGAAACCGCACAAAGUCCGAUGCCUGGAGAGAAAAUCAAAUUAAGACUAAAAUUAGAAAAAUCUGAACCUGUUACACCAGCUUAUAAAGUUGAUGUUUCGUUCGUAAACACACCACCGAUUAGAAAAGCUGAUAAAUCAGUAAAUAAAAUGUUUACUGGUAUUCCCAACUCAGGAACUGGUGAUGAACCAAGAGUGCCUCCCUUACACAUUUCUUUAAGAGGACGUAAUGCUUCUGUAGUACAAAUCAGAAAAAAAGAAAAGAAAUCCUUAAAAGAUGGUGAGUCUGAUCCUACUAAUAUAAAAAGGAGAGGGAAAUUAAAAAAAAUGAAAGAAUGUAUAGAUGGGAACAAAUUGUUGCAAAAAAAGUCAUCUUUAAGCAUGAUUAUAGGUACUUCAUCUGCAUCUAAAUUACCUUUAUCUAAUAACACGAUGAUCAACAGUACCAAUUCUAUUAGCAAAGUUAAUAAUAUACUUCAAACAGUUGUAUCAAAACCUAAUGCCUUAAAACAAGAAUUAUCUAUGGAUGUUGUACGUGUACAAACUGGUGUUACAAAACCAAGUUCAAGUAAAAGUAGCGAUGUCGAUGACAUACCAUUAAACAGUCGAAUACCAUCUCCUUCAAAACAUAAAUCCACUAUUUUGAAUCAACCUUUGAAUACACAACAAUCUUUAACAAAAAAUCAAGUUGAACUAGAUGUUCAAAAUCAUGUUCAGGAGCAUAAAAUAGGAGGAGGAAAAACUAAAAGAAGAGAUUCUAAAAAGAAAUCAGAAUCAGGAGACGGUUUACAUCGUGAACAAAACUUAUUAUCUGGUGGUAGAAUUUUAGAUAAUCAAGCAAAAUGGAGAAAACUUAAUUAUAAAGGUGAUUCAAGUCAAUCUGUAAGAAAAGUUGAUACACUUUUGACUGGCAAUGAUUUCAAUACUGUCAAAAAAGUAGGAGAAAUCAGAAGAACGAGCGAUAGUGAAAUUACUCGAUCAAUCGAAAAGAAUACCUUAAAUGCUGUUGCUUCAAGAUUAACUGAAGUAAAUGGUGUAAAAAAAGAUUUAAUUAGUCAAGAAAAAAGGAGAAGAUUAAGUUUAAUGGAUGAGAAAGAUCUGCAUUUAGGAGAAUCUCAAGAUGCAGAAACCACACAUUUUAAUAAUCAGAAGACCAUUUCUGAAUGUUCUUCAGCCAGUACAGUUCCAAAUACAAAUACAAAUACAAAUACAAAUACAAAUAUAAAAUCUGCUAGUAAUUCAUCAUUUGAGAAUGAAACUUCUGGAUUAGUAGCACCAAUUAUAUCUACACAAAAUGAUUCAAAUUCAUCUACUAAUAUUGAAAAUAAAGUAUCUACACAUGUCGAAACUUCUAUGAAAAAUACACAAUCAACUGUAAAUAGAAUUAUUUCUGGAAAAAUUAAAACAGAAACAGAUAAUUGCAAAACAAAUUGUAAUAUUAUAACAAAAAGUCAAACUAUUAAUCAGAAAUUAAAACAUAUGGUUUCAAAAAAUGAUGCAAAUACUAUCAUUAACAGACAUAAUAAAAUAGAACAUAUUGGUCAUAAAAAAGUAAUUCAGAAUCAUGUAAAACAACCUGACCGAUCCACAGUAGAAAACAAAGUGGAUAAUACACAAAGAAUUAGUUUAUUAAAAACACAAUGUUCAACAAUAGGAAACUCAAUGGACCAAGUUCCCAGAUCCCAAAAUGUUGAUGUACCUACCAGCAAGCCAACUUUACCAAUUGGAGAAAUUAAUGUAACAGAAGCAAAAGUUAAACAAAAAUUACUUGAAACUACAGUUCCAAUUGCAAUUGGUGUGGAUGCAAGUGUAGAAAGAGUCAGCAGUGGAGGAGGUGGUGAAGAUUCAGGUAUUGAGUCAAUGGAUGCUCUAUCAGAGAAAUCACCAAAUCAAGGGGAAUCUCCUUUGCAUAGGCCAGUGACUGAAUCAGUAACACAAAGCAGUGCAAAGACUGCUAUUCAAGGGGAAUCUACCCUACCAAUCACCAAUAAGAACGUGCCUUCCUCAACUAGUAGUAGUGAUAUGUGUUCAAAUUCCCAUUCGGAACUUCUAAAAUCCAGUGGCCCGCAAAGGUUAAGUCCUGUGUCUGUAGCAAGUUAUCUUGAAAAUCAUUUAAAUCGUAAUAUAUCAAAUUCCAGUGAACAUGACACAAAAAAUAUAUCUAGUGAAAAUUCAACUUCAACAAUACAGAGAACUGGUGGUCAUAGUGACUUGAUUCCUAGUUUAGAAGUGACUGAUAAAAGUGUAUCCAGCCCUCUAGUGUCAGGAUCUGUGACUAUUGUGACUACUUCUGUAUCCAGUACUGUGGAUAGUGAUAACUUAUUGCAAUGCGCACAGCAACAAACAAAUGACUUUUCUGAAAAAGACAAUUGUAGCAUUAAAUUAGAAGCUUCUAUCAAUCAGCAUGAGCAGGGUAAGACAAAUAUUAAACAUGAAGUGUCAAGAACCCCAGAAAGUGCAUCUGAAGACAAUGUAAAAACAGUCAUAGAUGGUAAUAGUGCAAUUAGAUUAAAUGAUGAACCUCAUGGACAAAAUAAUAAUGGUGUGCCUGUAAUACAAAAUCAUGUUGCUUAUAAUAAGAUAAAGACAGAAAAACUUGAUACUACACUUACAAAUGAGGCUAAGGUGGUAGUAGACAACUCAUGUUCUAGUAGUUCAAGUUUUAGUUCUGAAAUCAAAGUAGAAUCUAAUGUUAAUGAAAAAGUUGAUGAUACAAGGCAAAAUGAUCGAUCAGAUAAUACAAAAAACUCUUUAAGUGUAACAUCUGUUAAGUUAGAACAUUGUUCCGAUCAAAACCAAAAAUCUAAUGUACAAAGUCAUCAACAAAUAUCUGUUAGGGAGUCUUCUAUGAAUCUUCAAAAAGUUGCAGAUGAUUUGGUUAAGAAAAUUGUAAAUGAUGCAAGUGAUAUAAACAUAGGUAUUCAAUCACCUCUUGGUGAAGAUCCUCAACCAAUUAGAAUUACUCCACCAUUAUAUACAUACUCUAAUCCAGUAGUUUUACAAAGAGAUGAGACUCCAAGCCCAGCAGCACAAAAUCCAGAAGUGGAUUCGAGUGAUGUUGAACAUGUCAAAAGAAAACGUAGGAGAAAACAAGAAUUAGAAGGACGACAAGAUGUUAUAUGUAUAGAAGACAAUGAUGAAACACAAUUUGUAGAAAGAUUGAAUUCUAAUAAUACAGAUGAUUAUGUUAAAAGACCACCAAAAUCAUUGUUAGAACAACUUCUAAUAGAAAUACCGAAUGAUACUAAUGAGAAGAGAUCUCUAAGAACAAGAUCUCAGAAAUUAAAUAGUCCUGAUAUCAUAAAGACUCCAAAAGGUAGUCCUCAUGGUCCUAAUAAAUUAGAAGAGAGACGCAGCAUAUCACCUUAUGCUAAAGCAAGUCCUAAAUUAGGAGUAUCUAAAUUAUCUCCUAAUACGACAAUAAAAGUGGGGAAAAGAAAACGUCAGGAAAGUGAAAGUUCUGUAGCAUCUAGCACUGCUGAUGAUCCACAACCACGACCAGGAAAAAGAAAAUGUUCAGAAAAUGCUGCAGAACUUAUAAAAGCUUGUAUGGGUGUUGAUGAAGCUGCUUUAAAGAAACAAGUACCUGUCAAAGAAGAACAGCCAAAAAAGGGAUUUAAUAUACUGGCUAAGACUAAAAAAGGUCCCAUUGUGGUAGAAGUAGAUUCGUCUGAUGAUGAGCCAUUGAUUGAAUCUGUAGGAAAAGCAAGAAUGCGAUUAUCAGACGAAACAUCCGCUGCAUCUCCAAAAUCUAAAGAUCAAAAGUAAGCAACAUCGGUUCAGCAUUCUUUUAGCAGCAGCAUAUCUGAAUUUGUCAGAGAUUUGAGAGCCCCGCUACUAAUAGAGUGCAAAGAGAGAGCCGUUUGUUAACUACUAAACAACCGAAUACAACCGCGAUAGUUACCGCCGGAAAGGAAAGGCUACGUGGUACUUCCAUAUCCAAUAAUGAAUCCUUAGGAGAAGUUACAA
rnacentral:misc_RNA from 1 species